AGAGUUUGAUCCUGGCUCAGAACGAACGCUGGCGGCGUGGAUUAGGCAUGCAAGUCGGACGGGAUCCCUGGAUGUAGCAAUACAACUGGGGUGAGAGUGGCGAACGGGUGAGUACCACGUGGGCAAUCUACCUCUUAGUCUGGAAUAGCUUCGCGAAGGCGGGGGUAAUACCGGAUGUGGUCGUCUCUCGCAUGGGAGACAGUCUAAAGGCGGGGAUCCUUCGGGACCUGCCGCUAGGGGAUGAGCCCGCGGCCUAUCAGCUAGUUGGUGAGGUAACGGCUCACCAAGGCGAAGACGGGUAGCUGGUCUGAGAGGAUGGUCAGCCACACUGGGACUGAGACACUGCCCAGACUCCUACGGGAGGCUGCAGUCGAGAAUCAUUGUCAAUGCGCGAAAGCGUGAACAUGCGACGCCGCGUGGAGGAUGAAGGCCUUCGGGUUGUAAACUCCUGUCGUGAGGGAACAAGGGCUUCGGCGACAAUACCGCCGUUGUUUGAUGGUACCUCAAAAGGAAGCCACGGCUAACUCUGUGCCAGCAGCCGCGGUAAUACAGAGGUGGCGAGCGUUGUUCGGAUUUACUGGGCGUAAAGGGUGCGUAGGCGGCUCGGCGUGUCGGAUGUGAAAGCUCACCGUCCAACGGUGAAACAGCAUUCGAAACUGCCGGGCUAGAGUACAGGAGGGGAGAGCGGAAUUCUCGGUGUAGCGGUGAAAUGCGUAGAUAUCGAGAAGAACGCCGGUGGCGAAGGCGGCUCUCUAGACUGAUACUGACGCUGAGGCACGAAAGCUGGGGGAGCAAACAGGAUUAGAUACCCUGGUAGUCCCAGCCCUAAACGUUGUGCACUUGGUGUGGGCGGGUUUGUCCCCGUCCGUGCCGUAGCUAACGCGUUAAGUGCACCGCCUGGGGAGUACGGCCGCAAGGCUAAAACUCAAAGGAAUUGACGGGGGUCCGCACAAGCGGUGGAGCAUGUGGCUUAAUUCGAUGCAACGCGAAGAACUUUACCUGGGCUUGACAUGUGGCUGCAGGCCCCCUGAAAGGGGGGCGGCCUUCGAGGGUGCCACACAGGUGCUGCAUGGCUGUCGUCAGCUCGUGCCGUGAGGUGUUGGGUUAAGUCCCGCAACGAGCGCAACCCCUGUGAUUAGUUGCCCCUUCCGCCGAAAGGCGGGAAGCACUCUAAUCAUACUGCCUGUGACAAGCAGGAGGAAGGUGGGGAUGACGUCAAGUCAGUAUGGUCCUUAUGUCCAGGGCUGCACACGUGCUACAAUGGAUGGUACAGUGCGACGCAAGACCGCGAGGUGGAGCAAAUCGUAAAAACCAUCCUAAGUUCAGAUUGAAGUCUGCAACUCGACUUCAUGAAGUUGGAAUCGCUAGUAAAGGCGUAUCAGCUACGACGCCUUGAAUACGUUCCCGGGCCUUGUACACACCGCCCGUCACAUCAUGGAAGCUGACUGCACCCGAAGUCGCCGAGCCGACCCGCAAGGGGGGCAGGUGCCGAAGGUGUGGUUGGUGACUGGGAUGAAGG
rnacentral:rRNA from 1 species